rnacentral:rRNA from 1 species
UACGGAGGAUCCAAGCGUUAUCCGGAUUUAUUGGGUUUAAAGGGUGCGUAGGCGGCCUGUUAAGUCAGGGGUGAAAGACGGUAGCUCAACUAUCGCAGUGCCCUUGAUACUGACGGGCUUGAAUGAACUAGAGGUAGGCGGAAUGUGACAAGUAGCGGUGAAAUGCAUAGAUAUGUCACAGAACACCGAUUGCGAAGGCAGCUUACUAUGGUUUUUAUUGACGCUGAGGCACGAAAGCGUGGGGAUCAAACAGG